UACGGAGGGUGCAAGCGUUAAUCGGAAUUACUGGGCGUAAAGCGUGCGUAGGCGGUUCGUUAAGUCUGUUGUGAAAGCCCCGGGCUCAACCUGGGAAUGGCAAUGGAUACUGGCGAGCUAGAGUGUGUCAGAGGAUGGUGGAAUUCCCGGUGUAGCGGUGAAAUGCGUAGAUAUGCGGAGGAACACCGAUGGCGAAGGCAAUCCCCCUGGACCUGUAC
rnacentral:rRNA from 1 species